rnacentral:rRNA from 1 species
GCAGCAUUUCAGUUUGCUUGCAAACUGGAGAUGGCGACCGGCGCACGGGUGAGUAACACGUAUCCAACCUGCCGAUAACUCGGGGAUAGCCCUUCGAAAGAAAGAUUAAUACCCGAUGGUAUAAUUAGACCGCAUGGUCUUGUUAUUAAAGAAUUUCGGUUAUCGAUGGGGAUGCGUUCCAUUAGGCAGUUGGUGAGGUAACGGCUCACCAAACCUUCGAUGGAUAGGGGUUCUGAGAGGAAGGUCCCCCACAUUGGAACUGAGACACGGUCCAAACUCCUACGGGAGGCAGCAGUGAGGAAUAUUGGUCAAUGGGCGCAGGCCUGAACCAGCCAAGUAGCGUGAAGGAUGACUGCCCUAUGGGUUGUAAACUUCUUUUAUAUGGGAAUAAAGUUUUCCACGUGUGGAAUUUUGUAUGUACCAUAUGAAUAAGGAUCGGCUAACUCCGUGCCAGCAGCCGCGGUAAUACGGAGGAUCCGAGCGUUAUCCGGAUUUAUUGGGUUUAAAGGGAGCGUAGGUGGACAGUUAAGUCAGUUGUGAAAGUUUGCGGCUCAACCGUAAAAUUGCAGUUGAUACUGGCUGUCUUGAGUACAGUAGAGGUGGGCGGAAUUCGUGGUGUAGCGGUGAAAUGCUUAGAUAUCACGAAGAACUCCGAUUGCGAAGGCA